rnacentral:rRNA from 1 species
UACGUAGGGGGCAAGCGUUGUCCGGAAUCAUUGGGCGUAAAGAGCGUGUAGGCGGUCCGGUAAGUCGGCUGUGAAAGCCCGAGGCUCAACCUCGGAACUGCCUUCGAUACUGCGGGUCUCGAGUCCGGGAGAGGUGAGUGGAAUUCCUAGUGUAGAGGUGAAAUUCGUAGAUAUUAGGAAGAACACCAGUGGCGAAGGCGGCUCACUGGCCCGGUACUGACGCUGAGGCGCGAAAGCGUGGGGAGCAAACAGG